GACGAACGCUGGCGGCGUGCUUAACACAUGCAAGUCGAACGGAAAGGCCCUGCUUUUGUGGGGUGCUCGAGUGGCGAACGGGUGAGUAACACGUGAGUAACCUGCCCUUGACUUUGGGAUAACUUCAGGAAACUGGGGCUAAUACCGGAUAGGAGCUCCUGCUGCAUGGUGGGGGUUGGAAAGUUUCGGCGGUUGGGGAUGGACUCGCGGCUUAUCAGCUUGUUGGUGGGGUAGUGGCUUACCAAGGCUUUGACGGGUAGCCGGCCUGAGAGGGUGACCGGCCACAUUGGGACUGAGAUACGGCCCAGACUCCUACGGGAGGCAGCAGUGAGGAAUAUUGCACAAUGGGCGGAAGCCUGAUGCAGCAACGCCGCGUGCGGGAUGACGGCCUUCGGGUUGCAAACCGCUUUCGCCUGUGACGAAGCGUGAGUGACGGUAAUGGGUAAAGAAGCACCGGCUAACUACGUG
rnacentral:rRNA from 1 species